rnacentral:rRNA from 1 species
CCUACGGGUGGCAGCAGUCGAGAAUCAUUCACAAUGGGGGAAACCCUGAUGGUGCGACGCCGCGUGGGGGAAUGAAGGUCUUCGGAUUGUAAACCUCUGUCAUGUGGGAGCAAAUUAAAAAGAUAGUACCACAAGAGGAAGAGACGGCUAACUCUGUGCCAGCAGCCGCGGGAAUACAGAGGUCGUAAGCGUUGUUCGGAAUCACUGGGCGUAAAGCGUGCGGAGGCUGUUUCGUAAGGCGUGUGUGAAAGGCGCGGGCUCAACCCGCGGACGGCACCUGAUACUGCGAGACUAGAGUAGUAGAGGGGGAUGCGGAAUGCGCGGUGUAGCAGUGAAAUGCGUAGAUAUCGAGAAGAACUCUGGUGGCGAAGGCGGGUUCCUGGACAUUAACUGACGCUGAGGCACGAAGGCGAGGGGAGCGAAAAGGAUUAGAUACCCGGGUAGUC